rnacentral:rRNA from 1 species
AGGACGAACGCUGGCGGCGUGCCUAACACAUGCAAGUCGAGCGGAAAGGCCUCCUUCGGGAGGUACUCGAGCGGCGAACGGGUGAGUAACACGUGGGCAACCAACCCCUCACAUCGGGAUACCCCGGGGAAACUUGGAUCAAUACCGGAUAAUGCGCGACGCUGUUGGGCGUCGCACCAAAGGUAGCUUCGGCCUCUGGUGAGGGACGGGCCCGCGGCCCAUUAGCUUGUUGGUGGGGUAAUGGCCUACCAAGGCAACGAUGGGUAGCUGGUCUGAGAGGAUGAUCAGCCACACUGGGACUGAGAUACGGCCCAGACUCCUACGGGAGGCAGCAGUGGGGAAUAUUGCGCAAUGGGCGGAAGCCUGACGCAGCAACGCCGCGUGCGGGAGGAAGGCCUUCGGGUCGUAAACCGCUUUCAGGGGGGACGAAGCCACCAGGGUUAAUAGCCCAUGGGGUGACGGUACUCCCAGAAGAAGCCCCGGCUAACUACGUGCCAGCAGCCGC